GUUCGUCUUCAGGGGCAGGGUGCAAUUCCCGACCGGUGGUAAUAGUCCACGACCCGCAUUUGCGGCUGAUCCGGUGCAAUUCCGGAACCGAUAGUACAGUCUAGAUAAAGAAGAUGGGG
rfam:Lactobacillus saniviri JCM 17471 = DSM 24301 NODE_5, whole genome shotgun sequence.